UGUGAGUAAAUAAAUAAAGAGUCCGGCCUGCCCGGUGAAUUUUUAACGGCCGCAAUGAGAAUUGUGCGAAGGUAGCGUGAUAAGUUGUCUUUUAAUUGGAGAAUGGUAUGAAUGGCUUGACGCGGAAUAGCUGUCUUUGAAGAAUAGAAUUAAGUUUCCUUUUAAGUGAAAAGGCUUAUAUUUUUGUAAAAGACGAGAAGACCCUGUCGAGCUUAAUUAAAAUUAUUGUUGUGUUUAGUAAUUUGAAAUUUUGUUGGGGCAAUAUAAACCAAAAUAACGGUUUAAUUGUUAAAUGAGGAUCCUUUUUGAAAGAAAAUAGUAAAAGCUACCGCAGGGAUAACAGCGUUAUCCUUUCUGAGAGAUCGAAUUGAGGAAAGGGUUUGCGACCUCGAUGUUGGAUUAUGGAAACGUUUUGGUGUAGAGACUCUAAUGGUAAGACUGUUCGUCUUUUAAU
rnacentral:rRNA from 1 species